GGCGCCGUGGCUAAGUCGGUUAGAACACCUGUCUUGCAAACAGGAGAUCCCUGGUUCGAAUCCGGGCGGUGCCU